CUCUCUAUCUCUAGCUCUCGUUCAUUUAUUUAUUUACGCGACCUGAUAACUCCAUUAUCCAUUUCAUUAACAGAGACAGUGACCAUCCACAGCUUUUAAAUCUUAAUCUUCCUUAUAAAAUCCCAGUUCAGAUCACGUAAUGUCGCUCUGCCUUUGUAAGAACACACAGGCGAGAAGUUGCACACAAAGUAAAAUAAACAAACAAACAGGCGUUCGUUGGUUUCUGCGCGUAAAAAGGAUUAAUGGGCUUAUGUAAAUUCAUCCUGAAAAUCUUUGCUGUCAACCUUUAACGAAUUACAAGCGUGUCUCUAUAAUAGCAGCCAGCUAUCACAACUCGAAGAAAAACAGGCUGACUUUGUUCAGAUAUCUGAAAAAUACUUUUUUUCUGGAUUUCUUUAUCUACGGAGCUGCAAGAAAGUAAUUUUCUUUUUAAACCAACAGAGUAAAAUACUUAUCAGACUUAACGCUAUACUUCUAAUUAAUGGAUUCAUAUAUGCAUUUUUGUAAGGAGGCGCUAAGGUGCAAUGGUAGUACUAAUGAAAAAAUGGGCGAUGCAACAGAGCAUGACUGACUUUAAAAGCUCCUACAGAGUGACCUCUGAGUAACCUGCUACUCUAGUAUUUAACAAUAAAAAAAAGCCAAAUAUCUUGGUACUUUUUUUUAGGAUGAGAAGCCCAGCAUAGGUGGGGUAGCAGACUCCCGUGGCUUUGAAUAUGUUUACGUGAGUCAGUCUGACCACUGGUGUUGAGUCACGAGCAGUUUAAGAAUAGGGUCCAUUGACGAGGGGAGCAGCCUAUAGGCUGCGUUUGCUUUGGCUGCAAGAGGAAAGUUUUUACUCCUGGACCAAGUUGAUCCAUAUGUCGCAUGUCACCAAGCAGCAUCUAACAUCUGGAGCCUUUUGUUACCAAAGGUGAUGGAAAAAGGGAGCUAUGAAGAGCUGCAGCUAGCAGGAAGUACACAUCAUCACAAGAUCUCUGGGAUUUUGCUCUCCACUGGACCCGUAUGAGGCUGGAUGAAGAUCAUAACCCAUAAAUGACUGGAGCCUCCACACCGAGGAUGUCAAGCCAAUUCAGCUGACCUCAGAGGUGGAUCGGCCAUCCAGAUGUGCAAGACAGAGGCCUGAAUUUCAGCAAAACAGAGGCUUCAAGAUCUCAGUUUAUACUGUCAACCUAUUUCUUUGUGUCUGACAACCAUUUCUAUAAGAUUGUUGACUAAACUGACAAAUGCUCUCAUCUCCAUUCUGAAAAUAGAAACCUCAUAACCCACUGUGACUUUGUUUUAAUAGGCAUCAGCGUGUUCAUUUUAUUUUCUGUUUUUUGGGAGAACACUUCUCAAAAUAGAUGUUCUGCACAUUAAAAUUUUUAUCCCAUGUAAAUGAUUGAGUUUUAUCAAGUAUAUUUUUGACAGCUAA